rnacentral:rRNA from 1 species
ACGUGGGCAACCUGCCUCAUAGAGAGGAAUAGCCUUCCGAAACGGGAGAUUAAUACCUCAUAACAUUGCAGUUUCGCAUGGAACAGCAAUUAAAGGAGCAAUCCGCUAUGGAGAUGGGCCCGCGGCGCAUUAGCUAGUUGGUGAGGUAACGGCUCACCAAGGCGACGAUGCGUAGCCGACCUGAGACGGUGAUCGGCCACAUUGGGACUGAGACACGGCCCAGACUCCUACGGGAGGCAGCAGUGGGGAAUAUUGCACAAUGGGGGAAACCCUGAUGCCAGCAACGCCGCGUGAGUGAUGACGGCCUUCGGGUUGUAAAGCUCUGUCUUCAGGGACGAUAAUGACGGUACCUGAGGAGGAAGCCACGGCUAACUACGUGCCAGCCGCCGC